rnacentral:lncRNA from 1 species
AAAGAUGUGAUGAUGUCUGUUUUCUUGGGUGCUAAUACACCUCCUGAGUGAAUGGUGCAUGCCACUUUGGCUGUGCAUUAUCUGAAAUGGCCCAGUCAGGCACUUUUCAUUUAAUUUAAUUUUAUUUUUUAUUUUAAUGCUAUAUUCAUUCUCUCUGCUUUGUCUUCUGCAGCAACAAGAUUUAAUUGGUGAUGUUUUGGAGCUUCCCUCUAUGGAACCAGUCCUGCUUCAAUGAAGAGUAAUAGCAAGAUCUUUUUCUCUUCAGUGGUUCAGAAUUUGAUGGUGGGAUAUCAAAAAUACCAUCCAGCAUCGGCCUUGAUUGCAGUAAUGGAUGAAGAACUGCUUGUGCUGGAGGAUACCGAAUUAGCAAGGAGCACCAUGUGUUCUUGUGGAUGUGAAUGAGAGAUGAAUAGGAAGGAGAUGAAAACUUGUAUUUGACUGCCUGCAGGAUAAUUGUGUUAGUGCAUGAUAGUCCAGGACAUGGUUCAACCGUGGAGACUGAAAUUCUGAAAUGGUGGGGCUGUCCUUACUCCUGGUGUACUACAAGGAACUGUGUUGCCUGCUGUGGUUCUGCUCCAAAUCAGGCCAUUUGAUGCGCUUGGGGUGUGGGUACCACUCCAGUAGUCUCAAGAAAUGCUCAUUUCAAUGUGGAAAAAAUGCUGGACUUGUUGGCUGUCCCAAAUCCAGGUGAAGAGCUCUGCAGAAAUUACCUGAGACUGAAUAUGGCACUUUUGCCAAAUUAGGAGGACUCGGCCAGGAGAUUGUGCCAUCCUGGGUGGAUGGAGGAUGGGGGAAAGGCACAAUGCUGUCCAUAACCAUUACUUACUGG